ACAUCUUCCUAUCUCGCACCUUUUCUCCACGGCAGACCGCAGCAGGGUUCUCUCAAACUAAUUAUUCACCUCUUCCUCUUCACCUUCUACAACCAAAUUCAGUUCAUCUUCUGCUCUACUUACUCCAAAAGAAACUGAUGGAUUUAAUCUUCAACCAUCUUCCACGAGGUCACUUCCUCUUGCCGGUUGGAAUCCGUCCACGGAGUCUGCAACCCCGUACUCUUCCUCACGCAUAGGGGUCUAGAUGAUGUUGCUGCUACUAUUCCAGGGAAAUGGAAUACGCAACUAAUUUUUCUAUGCUAACAUACUUCUUGGUGCUUGUGUGCGUGAAUUGAGUGUCUUCCAGAUUUGGUCAGAGCAAGAAUCAAUUAUUGGUACGAUCUAUAAAGGGUGUUGCAGUUUAAUUGCAGUAUUAUUAUUUUCCUUCACUUGAAGAUCAAAUAGGUAGUGCUUCAACCUCAGCUGUUUAUUCAUCUUUUCUAAAUUAUUUUGCUGUAAUGUAUUAUUCUCUUAGGUCUCGUGGAUCAUGCAGAGAUUCAAUAAUAUUGUGUUUAUGAUCCCUGGUGAUAGUCCAUUUAUAUUCUCUUAUGUCUCAUGGAUCAUUAAGAGAUUCAAUAAUAUGGUAUUUCUGAUCAUUGGUGAUAGUCCAUUGCUCGAGUGUUCAGCUUCACACUCCAUAAACCGUUUCUUAGUAUACAAUGUUGUAGAAAAGCGCAUGUAAGGAGCAGAGACAAAAAUGGGGAAACAUCAUCAAAUAUUAAUCAACCAGUUGAAGGACCAUAUAUAUCU